GCCGGGCUGGGGAGUAGUAGGCCAGCCGGUGCCAGGCUGCGUUUGCAACCAGCACCUCUCGACACACAGGCAGCGCCGCCCGAGAGGGGCACGGGAGCCGGGGCGCGGGCAGAAGCAGCCCGAGGAAAACAACAACAGAGCCAGCCCUCACGCCGGCGGGCGGCUCGUGGCCGCCCGGGGAGCCCCAAACUUCAUCUCGGCGAAAGUCACUAUCAUAUGACAAAGGCUUUGCUGCAGUUCAUCUUCCUCCCUGUGUACUUUCCAUUUGCCUUCCCGGAAUCCUGCUGCAUCACAGAAGCUGGAAAUUCUGAUGUUCCAUUCAAAUCACAAUGGAAAGUCUUGACUUGACCGGCACCCUCAGGAAGACCCCAAGCCUCUAGCAGUACCUGGUAUCAUCUCCAGCAUGUUUAUAGAUGUGGAGGAUUCACUGGGAUAUUGAGAAAUACCAGAGGCGAGUUGUUCUACCGUAGUAAGUCAAUCAGCAUUUACUAAGUGACUACUGUUUACAGAGCACAGUCGGUGAUGUGUUGGGCAAAGAAGAAUGAGUUAGGGCAUAGCUGAGAAAAAAUAAAUCUGUAAUCUCUUCUAAGUGGUCCUUGCAGGCUAGACACACAUGCAAAUGAAAACAGCAAAAUAAAAAGCUGACAAAUAAUUGCAUAGCUGAGUGGUGUGGUAUGUGUGCUGUACAGGCCCAGAGUUGAUGGAGUAGAGAAAACCAGGUGGUACUAUUCAGGUUUCCUGCAUGAGUUUAAAGUAGGAUUGGAAGAAAGAUACAGGAAGAGAGGGUGGAAGUGAGUAAUUUCUGUGAGGCUUGGCCAGCCUGUUGGAUUGCCUGUGAGUUAAUUCCUGAUGGGAGGGUAGUAAAAUAAAGAGUGCUAAGCUAUAGCCUACCAACAGCUGACUUGCCUUCAACUUCUUAGAGAAAUUCAAGUUAUGAAAAGAAGUAAAGCCUAGUUGAGACUUCCCAUAAACAUAAGUG
rnacentral:lncRNA from 1 species